GAUGAAGAACGCAGCGAAAUGCGAUACGUAAUGUGAAUUGCAAAUUCAGUGAAUCAUCGAGUCUUUGAACGCACAUUGCGCCCCCUGGUAUUCCGGGGGGCAUGCCUGUCCGAGCGUCAUUGCUGCCCUCAAGCACGGCUUGUGUGUUGGGCCCCGUCCUCCGAUCCCGGGGGACGGGCCCGAAAGGCAGCGGCGGCACCGCGUCCGGUCCUCGAGCGUAUGGGGCUUUGUCACCCGCUCUGUAGGCCCGGCCGGCGCUUGCCGAUCAACCCAAAUUUUUAUCCAGGUCGACCUCGGAUCAGGUAGGGAUACCCGCUGAACUUAAGCAUAUCAAUAAGCGGAGGA
rnacentral:misc_RNA from 1 species